rnacentral:tRNA from 1 species
GCCUGGCUGGCUUAGUUGGUAGAGCAUGUAACUCUUGAUAUCAAGAUCAUGAGUUCAAGCCCUAUGUUGGGUU